AUAAUCAAAGAGCUGAAAGCUCUGAAGAAAAAUGACGCCACUGUCUCUAAUAUUGGGAUAGUUUUUAUGCAAGUCUUGAUUUUCACAUACCGUAAUUAGUUUAACAAUGCAACAUGUAUCGUGAGCAUAUAAUUGAUAUUCGUAUAUGUGUGUGUGUGUGAAGUGAAGGUGACAACUGGCUGUUUUUUUUAAGACAAAUGAAUAGGUCAAGACUAGCUGAAUUGUACAAAUAAAUACCGUAGAAAGGCUUGUAUAUUUCUCACUGGUACAUAGUCUGAAUCUGGGUCCGUUCGCUUCCAUUCACGUUUGCGCCCACUCAUUUUCACCCCUUUCACUUUCACACCCUACAUGUUCGCACCCAAUCUUAAUUGGUUUUGUGUUUAAUAACUCUGUAAGCAAGUGUUUUCUUAUAAGUAUAAUUGUUGUCAUUGUCUCAAAAUAAAGUGAGACAGCAAUUUUUUUUUUGUGUUGAAUAAAUCUUAAUCAUGUUUUGGAUAAGGUAUUGCUAAAAAUAAUAAUAAUCCUUUCUAAAUAAAGUGGUAUUUUGUCAACGUUUUAUUUUGUGUUGAAUAACUCUUAAUCAUGUUUUGGUUAGUGUAUUGCUAUAACUUGUUUCAUUGACUUGUUUCAAAAUGAAGUGAGAUUCUGACUAUGUUUGUUUCUGCGUGUUGAAUAAAUUUUAUCAUGUUUUGGUUAUAUUAGUGGAUUGCUAUAUUUUGGUUUCUAUGUUUUAUUGUUUCGUUGUUUCAGAUCAAUGGGACCAAGCUGUUAAAAACAAUUAUCUUUUGUGUUUUUUCCUUUAAAAUCUUCAAUGUUUUACUCAUACCAAGCUAUAAAUACAUUCAGUAUUCACACCAAAGCAAUUUAAAACAACAACCAUGAUUUUCCAAUUAUUCAACUUGAAUUUGAAUUAAAAUUGGGCGCGAAUGAGUGGAGUGUGAAUGUGCGAACGUGUAGGGUGCGAAAAUGUAUUGGGCACAAACAGACCUGAUACCACACAGUCUGAACCCCCUUCUCCCACAAAAUAUUAAGUAAAUAAUCUUUUUGUUACUGCUAUCAAAGGUCUAAUGAAAC
rnacentral:lncRNA from 1 species